CAGGCAGUAGCUUAGUGGUAGAGGUCCCGCUUGGUACGCGGGAAGAUCUGAGUUCAAUUCCCGGCUGCUUUC
rnacentral:tRNA from 1 species